CCCCCAUGAUGUUUCGCUGGAAGGACACCGGAUUCAAUUAAGUUCUGCGGCCUACAAUACGGCUGUGUUGUUAUUACAAUAUUGGGUCACACGAGUUGGGAAACACUGUGUUAAACCAAGGCAUGUUAAAAUGUUGUGUGAGAACAGAGCAUCACUUACCCAUCCAGGUUCCUGUACUGUACUAUACUGGAAUCUGUAGUCCUGCUUCUUCUAAGCAUGACGUCAGGUAGGGAGAGUUUGUUCGGCUUUUCACAGAAUAAUGUCUGGUCCUGAUUGUCGAGUCCUUUGAACAAAAUUCAGGUUUUCCCGGACAUAAGAGGGAAGAGAAAAUCACGGUAGAUGAAGUUGACCUCGCCGGCCCUGCGGGUUGUAUGUGUUGGCUGUCUGGGCAUGCUGGGAGUUGAAGUUUUGCAACAUCUGGAGGGCCACAGUUGGAGACCACUGGUUUAACUCGUGAAAGGAUGUCCACUCUAUCAGUGAAGUCAUUGGCUGCACAUGGUAGAAACAGAAUCGAGAACUCACUCACUGCUGCACAUAAUAAGAACGAGCAGAUGGAACUGUGAUCGUUCUCGCCAUGGAUGAAAUAUAGGAAAAUAUAUGACAUACAGAAAGGCUGUUCAAUCUCGUCGUCAUUGGGGAGUUUAUUCAGCAGAUUAGCUAAAUACUCCAUCAGGAAGAUGUUCCCGCACCGGAUAGCUGCUUUCCAAGCACAGCACAUUGGGGAGUCUAGAGGAAUUAGCAGGGCCCUGUCAUUGUGCUGUCUGGCAGGAAAGGGAUGUUCUUGGCAAUACCGAGAACUGAGACUAUGGACACUAAUCUCCCUGCUUAUGACUAAAUGCUUCGCUCCCCUGAGUCCAGCUAAAUUCAUAUAUUAAGCCAGAACAAGGGUAAAUAAAGGACAACGUUCAUUAAA